ACAACGCUGGCGGCCGUGCUUAACACAUGCAAGUCGAACGGAGAAUUUAUUUCGGUAGAUUCUUAGUGGCGAACGGGUGAGUAACGCGUGGGCAACCUGCCCUUCAGAUGGGGACAACAUCCCGAAAGGGGUGCUAAGUACCGAAUACGAUCACGCUGCCGCAUGGCGGUGUGAUUGAAAGAUGGCCUCUAUUUAUAAGCUAUCGCUGAAGGAUGGGCCUGCGUCUGAUUAGCUAGUUGGUGGGGUAACGGCCUACCAAGGCGAUGAUCAGUAGCCGGUCUGAGAGGAUGAACGGCCACAUUGGGACUGAGACACGGCCCAAACUCCUACGGGAGGCAGCAGUGGGGAAUAUUCCGCAAUGGACGAAAGUCUGACGGAGCAACGCCGCGUGAGUGAUGUAAGGUUUUCGGACUGUAAAACUCUGUUGUUUAGGACGAAAGUGCCUGUUGCAAAUAGUUGCAGGUAUUGACGGUACUGAACGAGGAAGCCACGGCUAACUACGUG
rnacentral:rRNA from 1 species